GUUAGCAGAGGCAAUGCGGGAGAAAUUGCUGCAUCUGAAGUCAUUCGGAGGUGUUGCCAAGUUUCUCAGGAACCAGAAUUGCAGAAUAAUGAGUAUUAUAUUUAAUUCGUGAUGGAAAGGCAACCGUGGGGAGUUCAGCAGAGGCAACGCGGAUCAUCUUGGCUCUGUGGGGGAGGGAGAAUUUAUAACUGUAGCUAGCUCAAAAGAGGAAAGCUGUCUGUAUAUUUGUGGGUAUAUAUAUAUUUAUAUAUAUGUAUAUACAAAUCUGUGUAUGUGUAGAUAACACCGUGUGUAUAUAUGUAUGUAUGUAUAUGCCCAUCAUGUAUAUGUGUACCUAUAUAUAUGUAUACGUUUAUAUAAAUUUCUAUUUCUCUAUAUGAAUAGUCAUGCAACUAUGGAAAAUAGCAUAUCACCAGUGUGUCCUUUGCUUUAAAACCCAGCGAGAAGCUACUUCCAUUAAUCCCGUGUUGGCACACAGCUCUUUGGUUAUCAUUUACAUGUAGAGAGGAGCGCAGCUCCGUAGCUGAGCACCAGCCUGGAAGGCUUUCCCUCCUCCAGAGGACUCCAAGCAAGUCAUUAGCUUCUCCACAGCUGUUCCACAUAUGUGAAAUAAAGCAGUGGCCAAGGUGAAUCGGGGGCUGGUUUUAAAGGCUGAGGAAGAAGGAGCUGUGGGCUGUUUGUGCUUGGAAAGCCGUGUGAUGCUUGCAGAGUUCUGAUGGUGAAACAGCCUCAGCUGCGGUUGCUCUGGCUGCUGUUGGUUGUUCCCAGCUAACAGCAGCAGCUUCUGCACGGGGCAGGAAGGAAAUUCAUCUUUUUUCCUCUAAAAGUAUGACGUGGAAGGGAAGAUGCAGUAGGUAUUGUUUGCUUGUUCCUGUUUUCUUGUGCAAAAAGAGUGCAACUGCUCUUUCAUUCAGAAGAACUCAAAGAGAUGAUAAAAGAGUAUUUUCUUCGAGUGAGAACUGGACUACAGUUGUACUGAAUCAAGACAGGAUCUCUUUGUGGAUGACUAUUUCCACAGAGGCGCAAAAUGGGAUAUUGCUCUCAAGUGUCAUUAUGUGAAUGAAAGGGACCUAUGUUUACCCUGGAAGACAACAACGCAGCUGCUGGGGACACGUGCUAGGAGUCAUCACUAGAGAAAUAGGUAUGAUGAACAUAAUUUCAAUAUACUUACACAUUUCAGUUUUCCAGCUCCCUUUAUGGAGCAUGAAUGAGCUAGCGUGG
ensembl:lncRNA